rnacentral:lncRNA from 1 species
GCACCAGUAAUGUAUAUUUGCAAGUUGUGGUAUGUACCAAGAAGUAAAAUAAAUAGGCAUUACUCAAGAGGAAGUGAGAGGAGGAACCUGAUUUAAAUCAGGUGAUCAGGGACAGGCUCCUGAGGAAGGUGAUAUAUGUGUGAGGUGUGAGGAAGGAUCAGUCUUGAAAAAUGUAAGGCGAAUACAGUCCCAAGCAGAGGCAACAGUAUGUACAAAAGGCUUGGGAGCAAAUGAGUGGCCUGUUCCUGGAAUUUCCAGAAGACUGAAAUAAAAUGUGUCCUGACCUCUCCUCCGAAAUCCUGUCACUAACCCAAUUAUCUCUUUGGCUUACCCACAUUUAAUUGAACGGUUGGUUUUUGGUCUGUCUCCCCAUUACUAAAAUUAAAGUUCCAUAAAGGCAGGGAUUUAUCUGUUUUGUUUCUCUGCUCCAUCUUCAGGGAUGACAAGUUCCUGGUACUUAGCAGCUGCUCAUAAAUAUUGAACGAAUAAAUGAGUUAGUAAUAACUGCAGGAGUCCAGGCAUAAGAUAUUGUUGGCUUGGUUAAAGUGGAGGUGAUGGGGGUUGAGAAGGGCCAAGAAGCUUGAGAUAUCUUUUGGAGUUACAGUCAAUAGCACUGGUUGAUAGAUGAGAAGUGAGGAGUAAAAGAAAAGAAGUCAAGUGGCUCACAGGUUUCCAACCUGAACAAAUAGGUAGAUGAUGGUGGUGCCAGUGGCAGAAUGAGAGAGCCAACUGGGAAAUAAGCUGACAAUCCCAGGACCUUGCUUGCAAGCUUUUAACUGUUUGAUAAGUGAAUGAAUGAAAUGAUGAAUCGCCACACUAUGUAAAGAAAAAAGGAGCUACCCUAAUGUUCACAAAAAACUGUUUAUUUUUUCUUUGUUAUUUAAAAACUCAAGAAAAAAGGUAUCAUUUUGUAACUAUCUUUGAAUCCCAGUACUGUGCAUUGUUAUUUUAAAUGGCACAUAUAUUUUAUUUAAAAUUAUCUUUUAAUUAUUCAAAAUAAAUUAAUCACUUUCCAAAUCAGUUGUUUAUAUCUAAAAUUAGCCCCUGAACUAGUGUGUGUUCAUAUAUGCAUACACACACACACUGUACAUUCAUUUUCAAUAUGUGAAUGAGCACUAAUUUAUCUAA